rnacentral:rRNA from 1 species
UACGUAGGGAGCAAGCGUUGUCCGGAAUCAUUGGGCGUAAAGCGCGCGUAGGCGGCUUCAUAAGUCCGUUGUGAAAGUCAAAGGCUCAACCUUUGAAAGCCGAUGGAUACUGUGAAGCUAGAGUACGGAAGAGGCGAGUGGAAUUCCUGGUGUAGCGGUGGAAUGCGCAGAUAUCAGGAGGAACACCGAUGGCGAAGGCAGGUCUCUGGGCAUUAACUGACGCUGAGGAGCGAAAGCAUGGGGAGCGAACAGG